rnacentral:snoRNA from 1 species
UUAUAGCUUUUUAAGCUGACUGUAGGAGCACUGUAUGCAGUGGCUAAAAUAGCAACAUCCUUGGUUGUGUACUUCGUAUAUAUUGUUUGUUUGGGUUACUCUAAGAGUCCACUGGCAACAGGG